rnacentral:rRNA from 1 species
ACUCAGGUUGUUUGCAGGUUUAAAAAGCUCGUAGUUGGAUUUCGGGUGAGUCGACGCGGUCUGCCUCUGGUAUGUACUGCGCUCGGUUCACCUUUCUGCUGGGGACGGGCUCCUGGGCUUAACUGCUUGGGACCUGGAAUCAGCGAAGUGACCUUGAGCAAACAAGAGUGUUCAAAGCAAGCCGACGCUCUGAAUUUUUUAGCAUGGAAUCACACGAUAGGACUCUGGCCUAUCUUGUUGGUCUGUAGGACCGGAGUAAUGAUUAAGAGGGACAGUCGGGGGCAUUCGUAUUUCAUUGUCAGAGGUGAAAUUCUUGGAUUUAUGAAAGACGAACUUCUGCGAAAGCAUUUGCCAAGGAUGUUUUCAUUGAUCAAGAACGAAAGUUGGGGGCUCGAAGA